rnacentral:rRNA from 1 species
GUUGAACGCUGGCGGCGGGCCUAACACAUGCAAGUCGAGCGGAAAGAGGCAGCUUGUUUCUGGUUUCCGGGGGGGGAGCGUGAGUGUAACCUAUGAGUAUGCCGCCUAUUGGUGGGUGACGACCGCAGAAGGGCGCUGCUACCGCCUCCGACCUGCGGCAGAAGGAGGGGGAGGGUCGGACCUCACGCUCUCAGGUGAGCCUAGGCGGGGCUAGCUAGUUGGUGGGGUAAGGGCCUACCUAGGCGACGAUCCGUAUAUGGUCUGAGAGGAUGAUCAGUCACACUGGAGCUGAGACACGGUCCAGACUCCUAAGGGAGGCAGCAGUGGGGAAUAUUGGACAAUGGGCGAAAGCCUGAUCCAGCCAUGCCGCGUGUGUGAAGAAGGCCUUCGGAUUGUAAAGCACUUUAAGUGGGGAGGAAGGGCAUUAAGUUAAGACCUUGCUGUAUUGACGUUACCAACAGAAUAAGCACCGGCUAACUACGUG